rfam:Triticum aestivum genome assembly, contig: Triticum_aestivum_CS42_TGACv1_scaffold_165975_2DL
CAAGUACUCCCUCCGUCCGGAAUUACUUGUCAUCAAAAUGGAUGUGUCUAGAACUAAAAUACAUCUAGAUCCAUCCAUUUCAAUGACAAGUAUUUUCGGACGGAGGGAGUACAAG